UAGUCCUAACCGUAAACGGUGUGAACUUGCUGUAGGAGGAUUCGACCCCUUCUGUGGCGGAGCAAACGCGUUAAGUUCACCGCCUGGGAAGUACGGCCGCAAGGUUAAAACUCAAAGAAAUUGACGGGGGCCUGCACAAGCGGUGGAGUAUGUGGCUUAAUUCGAUGCAACGCGAAGAACCUUACCUGGGUUUGACAUGCCGUCAUAAGCUGUGAAAGCAGUGGUCAGUUCGGCUGGACGUGCACAGGUGCUGCAUGGCUGUCGUCAGCUCGUGUCGUGAGAUGUUGGUUUAAGUACCGCAACGAGCGCAACCCCUACAUUUAGUUGCCAUCAGGUAAUGCUGGGCACUCUAGAUGGACUGCCCCAUUUUUAAUGGAGAGGAAGGUGGGGGACGACGUCAAGUCAGUAUGGCCCUUAGCCCAGGGGCUGGCACACGUACUACAAUGCCCGGGUACAAUGGGGACGCCAAGCCGCGAGGGUGGAGCAAAUCCCGUAAAGCCGGGG
rnacentral:rRNA from 1 species